rnacentral:tRNA from 1 species
UGCCCCGUGGUGUAACUGGUAACACGACUGAUUCUGGAUCAGUUAUUUCUGGUUCGAUUCCAGACGGGGCAACCA